AGCGAACGCUGGCGGCGUGCCUAACACAUGCAAGUCGAACGUGAAAAGGGAAACCUGAGUAAAGUGGCGUACGGGUGAGUAACGCGUAGGUAAUCUACCCCAGAAUCUGGAAUAACCUGCCGAAAGGCGGGCUAAUGCUGGAUAGAGCGAGGGAACUCGUAAGAGAGUUUUUCGGGAAAGGGAGCCCGCAAGGGCCUUCGUUCUGGGAUGAGCCUGCGUCUCAUUAGCUAGUUGGUAAGGUAACGGCUUACCAAGGCGAUGAUGAGUAGCUGGUCUGAGAGGAUGAUCAGCCACACUGGAACUGAAACACGGUCCAGACUCCUACGGGAGGCAGCAGUGGGGAAUCUUGCGCAAUGGACGAAAGUCUGACGCAGCCACGCCGCGUGAGUGAAGAAGGCCUUCGGGUUGUAAAGCUCUGUCGGAUGGGACGAACAUCUUCAUAGUGAAUAGCUAUGAGGACUGACGGUACCAUCAAAGGAAGCACCGGCUAACUCCGUG
rnacentral:rRNA from 1 species